AACUUUUUGAGGUUAGACAUGCCAUGUGAAAUCGUCCAAUUCCUGUUCGUCCUGAAAAUUCAUCUUAUUUCUCCGUGUUUUUUCAAAACCUCUUUGAUAGAUUUGCUCCAGGCAUUUCUCAGCGGAUCAGAGACGGCUAAGCAUGAUGAACAGACUUCUUCACAAAUAAAAGCUGCCGCGAUCUCAUACUGGAAGUUGUGCCGAAGAUUAACGGCCCUUUAAACGAAGGAUAAAGACUGAGACAAAAGAGCUCUACAAAACCUCAAAAGACUGCUGAGUCCAUUUAAUUUAAGGACCCCAAAGUCUGCAAUAAAACACAAACUAAUCAAUCGUUUAACUGCCAUACAACAAGAGCUGCGGAUGCGAACAUUAUCUGAAUUUGUUGGUGUUUUCCUAAAGUGUUUGCAGUACCAGAAAAUUUUGAAGAGGUGCAUCGAAAGCCAAGCAUCUUACAUCCUCCAAACAGGAAAGAUUCCUCAUCUCGGAAGACUGACUGUGAGAAUCACUCUUUGCAACUCAAUCAUCAGACUCCUCACAAGAGUCAUGGUGCAGUGCUUUGCCAGAUGAUCACUGUUACACGUCAAAUUUCAAAAGAUCUUCCUGCAGAACUUCCCAAGCUUGUCAUCACCAAAAAAUUUUCCAUCACCAAACUGCUACCCAGAAUUCUGACAGAGGGUGGACUCCAAGAUACUUCUGCUGUCAUAAUUCAAAAAGGUCCCUCACACUUCGUCCCUGUACCCCUCGUUCAGACCUCACCUGGUGUUUUUGUAUUGGGUACAUCUCUUGCUGAUACUGUCAACAUUAGUAUGAAUCCGGGAGUUUCUACAAGUGACAGUACAUCAAGCGGUGAAACCAAAACUCUUUUUGAUUUCACCGACAAUGGUAUCACUGAUUUGAAAAACUGGAGGGAAAUCUCUGACACGGUGCGAGAUGUUGGCAUGUCAAAAGCCUCGUUUGUUGUGCAGAAAACACAGAAGUUUCAGCGAGCUGUAUUUUUUACGAUGUUAAAUCCACAACCUAACGGUGCAGGAUUUGCUGGAGUAUCGACUAGCACCCCGUUCAACCUCCAGAAAUUCCAGAACGUUCUGAUUCAUGCAAGGGCUCAAGGCAGCGUCACCGACUACAAAAUAGUUCUUAGGCACAAAGGUUUGAACCAGGAGCCUCACCCCACCUAUGAACAGACUUUCAAUGUGCCAUUAAAUGAAUUCACCACCAUUAGUUUACCUUUGUCGAAUUUUGAUCCGUAUUACCGAGGUCGCAAGCUCAACUCUUCCGAAGCUGAGCCUUUGGACACCUCUCAAAUUUCUAGCUUUGGAUUCCAAGUUUAUGGUGGAGUUUACCAUCCCAAAAAACAGAGUGGUAUAUCGGCGUUUGAAGUUGACUGGGUGAAAGCAAAAUGAUGCAAUAUUUUUGGAGGAAAAAACUUGUGCUUAUACUGCUUUAAAUAGCAGUGACGCUUCUGCAUUGCUCAAGUAUUUGAAGACGCUCACUUCAAUCUCAUUUGUAGUCAAACUCGGACUUUCCAUGUUUUUCUGUUUGUUUGCAGUCAUCACAAGGGUGGCUUUGAACCGAAGGAGUAUUGUGGCGAAUUCUCCUGGAGGACCUUGAUAGAUUUAUCAGGAUUAUAAUCACCAGGGGCUGAAGAAUUUCACAGGAUUGAUGUUAUUUACAAAUUAAUUACACAAAGAAGAAGAGGAAGCAUUCUAAAAUAUGCAAUUUACUGCUGAAUCAAGCGGAGAAAAAAUCCAAUAAUAGACUACAAUCAGGAAGCAAACUAAAAAAGAGUUGAGGAUUGCAAUCACUAAAACUUAUGUGUUUUCUACUGUGCUAUUUGCAAACGGUGAUUCAAAAUUUAUACUAGUAAUUGCACAUUAAAUCAAUGAAAACUCCUCCACAAAAACUCCACAUGCUACUUUACGGGCGAGGUGCAAUGGAUGUGUAGGUAGAACCCUAAAAAUAUGGUCGGAGUUUUGCUGUACAAAAAUUACCUCUUUUCACCCUCUUCUCCCCAAAAUAAACAUUUCUCCUGUGUCUAAUAAAAAAUAAAAGUAUAAUGAAACAAGGAA